ensembl:lncRNA
GAGGCAAAGCCCCCUUGCUGGAGGAGAGUUGAGGUGUGUGGUCUGAUCCUUUGCAGGGUUUGUGGUUCAAGGACCGAAAAGAACUAAUGAGGAAGCCCAGGCCUCGUGGGGAGGCUUACUGAAGCUCGGCCAGCAUACCCAGGUUCAACUGCAGACCUGACAGUGACGUCACCUCCAGAGGAGUCCAGCUCCUAGUGUCAGUAUCAACCCCAACUGAUCUAACUGAGGACCUGUCAGUCAAUCCACGUUUGACAGGACAGAAGAGACUCCGUAUAUCUCCAAGGUGGCCCUUCCAGAAUGUGAAAGCGACCCUCCCAAUGUCAACUUCCUUCCGGCUCUUGGAAUCACCCUUCUACUCUCAGCUUCUCCUCAGUUUUCCUCUGGAUACCACAGGGUACAAAAGUUGCACUUCUCCACAUCCUUGCUAACAUCUGUUAUAUUCUAUUUAUAAUACACAUCCUCAAAGGUGAUAUCUCCCUUUGACUUGGUUUCUGCUUCACUGAUACUUAGUGAUGUUGAGCACUAUUCUUAUGCAUAUUGAUCACUUCUAUGAAGAAAUAUUAUUGAAGCUUUUUACAGAUGUGAGAGUUGGACUAUAAAGAAAGCUGAGUGCCAAAGAAGUGAUGCUUUUGAACUGUGGUGUUGGAGAAGACUCUUGAGAGUCCCAUGGACUGCUAGGAGAUCAAACCUGUCCUGAAUAUUCACUGGGAGGACUGCUGCUGAAGCUGAAACUCCAGUACUUUGGCCACCUGAUGCAAAGAACUGACUCAUUUUAAAAGACCCUGAUACUGGGAAAGAUUGAAAGCAGGAGGAGAAGGGGACGACAGAGGAUGAAAUGGUUGGAUGGCAUCACUGACUCAAUGGACAUGAGUUUUAGUAAACUCCAGGAGUUGGUGAUAGACAAGGAGGCUUGGUGUGCU